rnacentral:rRNA from 1 species
UGGCGUGCUUAACACAUGCAAGUCGAACGCUGAAGCCUGGUGCUUGCACCGGGUGGAUGAGUGGCGAACGGGUGAGUAAUACGUGAGUGACCUGCCUUUGACUCUGGGAUAAGCCUGGGAAACUGGGUCUAAUACCGGAUGCGACUACUGCCCGCAUGGGCUGGUGGUGGAAAGGGUUAUGUACUGGUCUUAGAUGGGCUCACGGCCUAUCAGCUGGUUGGUGGGGUAAUGGCCUACCAAGGCGACGACGGGUAGCCGGCCUGAGAGGGUGACCGGCCACACUGGGACUGAGACACGGCCCAGACUCCUACGGGAGGCAGCAGUGGGGAAUAUUGCACAAUGGGCGCAAGCCUGAUGCAGCGACGCCGCGUGAGGGAUGACGGCCUUCGGGUUGUAAACCUCUUCAGCAGGAAGAAGCGGAAGGGACCGUCUUCCCGG